GACGAACGCCGGCGGCGUGCCUAAUACAUGCAAGUCGAACGCACUCUCGUUUAGAUUGAAGGAGCUUGCUCCUGAUUGAUAAACAUUUGAGUGAGUGGCGGACGGGUGAGUAACACGUGGGUAGCCUGCCCUAAAGUGGGGGAUAACAUUUGGAAACAGAUGCUAAUACCGCAUAAAACCUAACACCGCAUGGUGUAGGGUUGAAAGAUGGUUUCGGCUAUCACUUUAGGAUGGACCCGCGGUGCAUUAGUUAGUUGGUGAGGUAAAGGCUCACCAAGACCGUGAUGCAUAGCCGACCUGAGAGGGUAAUCGGCCACACUGGGACUGAGACACGGCCCAGACUCCUACGGGAGGCAGCAGUAGGGGAUCUUCCACAAUGGACGAAAGUCUGAUGGAGCAACGCCGCGUGAGUGAAGAAGGUUUUCGGAUCGUAAAACUCUGUUGUUGGAGAAGAAUGUAUCUGAUAGUAACUGAUCAGGUAGUGACGGUAUCCAACCAGAAAGCC
rnacentral:rRNA from 1 species